rnacentral:rRNA from 1 species
GCCCUUAGAGUUUGAUCCUGGCUCAGGAUGAACGCUGGCGGCGUGCUUAACACAUGCAAGUUGAACGAAGCAAUUUAGCGGAAGUUUUCGGAUGGAAGUUAAAUUGACUGAGUGGCGGACGGGUGAGUAACGCGUGGGUAACCUGCCUCACACUGGGGGACAACAGUUAGAAAUGACUGCUAAUACCGCAUAAGCGCACAGGACCGCAUGGUCCGGUGUGAAAAACUCCGGUGGUGUGAGAUGGACCCGCGUUUGAUUAGCUAGUUGGUGGGGUAACGGCCUACCAAGGCGACGAUCAAUAGCCGACCUGAGAGGGUGACCGGCCACAUUGGGACUGAGACACGGCCCAAACUCCUACGGGAGGCAGCAGUGGGGAAUAUUGCACAAUGGGGGAAACCCUGAUGCAGCGACGCCGCGUGAGUGAAGAAGUAUUUCGGUAUGUAAAGCUCUAUCAGCAGGGAAGAAAAUGACGGUACCUGACUAAGAAGCCCCGGCUAUUCUG